AGUCGUAACAAGGUUUCCGUAGGUGAACCUGCGGAAGGAUCAUUACUGAUUUGCUUAAUUGCACCACAUGUGUUUUUUAUUGAACAAAUUUCUUUGGUGGCGGGAGCAAUCCUACCGCCAGAGGUUAUAACUAAACCAAACUUUUUAUUUACAGUCAAACUUGAUUUAUUAUUACAAUAGUCAAAACUUUCAACAACGGAUCUCUUGGUUCUCGCAUCGAUGAAGAACGCAGCGAAAUGCGAUACGUAAUAUGAAUUGCAGAUAUUCGUGAAUCAUCGAAUCUUUGAACGCACAUUGCGCCCUUUGGUAUUCCAAAGGGCAUGCCUGUUUGAGCGUCAUUUCUCCCUCAAACCCCCGGGUUUGGUGUUGAGCAAUACGCUAGGUUUGUUUGAAAGAAUUUAACGUGGAAACUUAUUUUAAGCGACUUAGGUUUAUCCAAAAACGCUUAUUUUGCUAGUGGCCACCACAAUUUAUUUCAUAACUUUGACCUCAAAUCAGGUAGGACUACCCGCUGAACUUAAGCAUAUCAAUAAGCGGAGGA
rnacentral:misc_RNA from 1 species